UACGUAGGGGGGCAAGCGUUGUCCGGAAUUAUUGGGCGUAAAGAGCUCGUAGGCGGUUUGUCGCGUCUGCCGUGAAAGUCCGGGGCUCAACUCCGGAUCUGCGGUGGGUACGGGCAGACUAGAGUGAUGUAGGGGAGACUGGAAUUCCUGGUGUAGCGGUGAAAUGCGCAGAUAUCAGGAGGAACACCGAUGGCGAAGGCAGGUCUCUGGGCAUUAACUGACGCUGAGGAGCGAAAGCAUGGGGAGCGAACAGG
rnacentral:rRNA from 1 species